AUAUCUGCCCGUUUUGUACAUAAAAAAAAAAAAAUAUUGAAACUAAAUGGGCUUCUGACUUUGGGAAUACGUUUCUCUCGUCUACAUAAACCCUUAUUAUCUAAGUGGCAAUUGGCAGAUUUAUUUAAGCUUAGGAACUGGAAAUGUUACUGUUACGGAAAAUGUGAAACUUAUAGUCCAUGUUUUAACUGCUUUAAGACAAGAGAUUUGACAUGGCAUUAGACAUUAGGCCUAGCACAUCUUUCUUGAAAAGGUUAAUGCAAUCCUGACAUACUGCACAUGGAAAUUGUCAGUGAGACAGUAUUUAUCAGAGAACCACAAAAAGUAGUAAAUAAAUGCAAUGAAAGAUUUCAGUUAGUUUAUACAUUGUCUAUAGUGCCAGUUCACACCUCAGGAUCACAGGUCCAAGAUGGACAUGCUUUGUCUUUCAUCAUUACGAGGUCAAUAAAAUUGGUACAAUUGAACUGGCUAAGCAAACCUCUCUAACCCAUGAUACUUGCAUAUAAGAUACAUUUUCAAUGUAUUGUACCUGCUAAAAAAAAACGUUGUCAUUAUUAUAAAUUGCUCUAUUGAUUUGACAGUACUCAGUACAUGCCUAUGCAGUUCGCACACUCCUUUUUUUUACAGAUUUGUGUGUUUCAUGACUCUUAAAGGUUAAGUUUGAAUGUAUGUUCAAUUCUGCAUGUUGAACAUUGCAUCUUCUAGUUCUGUAUCAAUAUUGUUAUUUAUGGAUUUUGGAGCCUGAUUAGCUAUGUGUAUAUUUCUAUUUUGUAUACACAUAUACAUCAAUUCAUAAUUAAUAUGCACUUAUUUUUUUCCUAGUACGAGUUACAGUAACAGAUUACUGUCCAUUCCUAACACUGUCUGUAUCUGCUUUUGUUCCCUUUCUGUAGGAUCACCUCAGACCCAUUACUGUUCUGUUGUAGUUUGUUAAAUUCAG